rnacentral:rRNA from 1 species
GAUGAACGCUGGCGGCGUGCCUAAUACAUGCAAGUCGAGCGAACAGACGAGGAGCUUGCUCCUCUGACGUUAGCGGCGGACGGGUGAGUAACACGUGGAUAACCUACCUAUAAGACUGGGAUAACUUCGGGACACCGGAGCUAAUACCGGAUAAUAUAUUGAACCGCAUGGUUCAAUAGUGAAAGACGGUUUUGCUGUCACUUAUAGAUGUAUCCGCGCCGCAUUAGCUAGUUGGUAAGGUAACGGCUUACCAAGGCGACGAUGCGUAGCCGACCUGAGAGGGUGAUCGGCCACACUGGAACUGAGACACGGUCCAGACUCCUACGGGAGGCAGCAGUAGGGAAUCUUCCGCAAUGGGCGAAAGCCUGACGGAGCAACGCCGCGUGGGUGAUGAAGGUCUUCGGAUCUUAAAACUCUGUUAUUAGGGAAGAACAAAUGUGUAAGUAACUAUGCACGUCUUGACGGUACCUAAUCAGAAAGCCACGGCUAACUACGUG